UACAUGGGGUGCAAACGUUGCUCGGAAUUAUUGGGCGUAAAGCGCGCGUAGGCGGUUACUUAAGUCGGAUGUGAAAGCCCUCGGCUUAACUGAGGAAGUGCACCCGAAACUGAGUAGCUAGAGUACGAAAGAGGGUCGCGGAAUUCCCGGUGUAGAGGUGAAAUGCGCAGAUAUCGGGAGGAACACCUAUGGCGAAGGCAGCUCGCUGGGACGUUACUGACGCUGAGACGCGAAAGCGUGGGGAGCAAACAGG
rnacentral:rRNA from 1 species